rnacentral:rRNA from 1 species
UACGGAAGGGGCAAGCGUUGUUCGGAAUUAUUGGGCGUAAAGAGCUCGUAGGCGGUUUGUCGCGUCUGCUGUGAAAACCCGAGGCUCAACCUCGGGCCUGCAGUGGGUACGGGCAGACUAGAGUGCGGUAGGGGAGAUUGGAAUUCCUGGUGUAGCGGUGGAAUGCGCAGAUAUCAGGAGGAACACCAAUGGCGAAGGCAGAUCUCUGGGCCGUAACUGACGCUGAGGAGCGAAAGCAUGGGGAGCGAACAGG